UCCCUCCUCGGCAGCGGGCCAAGCAGCAGCCGGUUUCACCGUGCGCGCGCUCAGCCAACCGCCGCCUCAGCAGCGAGCCAGUCAACUGUCAACCGCCAGUUCGCCCAGCCCACCCCCGCGCGUGCGUGCCGGGGCCCGCCAAUUAACAGCCAGAAAAACCCAUACUCCCGCCUCAGCAGCGCGUGGGACAUGUCAGUCAAAUACAAACCCCGCCCCCCACCUCAAUCAGCCUCUAGCAUAAUCUUUGGCCUCUAGUGCAGCCCAAAGAUCCUGGAGGAGUAUAGGAUCUUUGGUGCAGCCCCUGCCCGCGUUCCCUAUGUCUCGUCAGUUGGGCGAUGAAUGAAUCCUGCCCAAAGAUUCCUGCCUUAGCAACCAGCCCGGCCCCAACCUUGCAGGGUCACCACAGCACUCACUCAGAAUAACAUAGCCCUAUUAACUAUAGUUUAUUUACAAAGAGAAAAUAACAUCUUACCCAUUAAAUGAGUGGCAGACCAUCAGUUUAGGUUAGUUUGGAGAUACAGCGCGAGAACAAGCCCUUCGGCCCACCAGGUCCGCGCCGACAAGCGAUCCCCGCAUUGUAACACUAUCCCGCACACACGGGACAUUUUUUACAUUAAAAAAAAAUAUUAGAAGCAAUUGUACAAAGAUAAAACGUUCGGCAUCUAGAAUUAUACAAUUAUUGUACAGCUUCAUUUUUAACCUUAUAACCUAAAUUGUGAAAUUAGAAAAAAUGGGAAAAGAAAAAGCAAGAAAAGUAGAAAAGAAGAAAGGAAAAAGUGAAAAGAGAGAAGAACGAGGAAAAAGUCCCCUAAACUACCAAAGCAGUGAAGCAGAAAGAUAGAGGAAUAAGAAAAAAUGGAGAUAUACCUUGCCCCCUCCCACCCCCCCAAUAUUUGUUUCACCAUACUAUUCUUGUAAACAUUCAGUGAAGGGUUGUCCAUGUCUUAAGAAAUUGAUCUGGUUUUUCCUCCAAGACAAGCCUAAUGUUUUCCAAAUGUAGUGACAGCCAUAUCUGUAAUCCACAUCUUCACUGCAGGGACUGUUGGCUGUUUCCAAAAUCCAAUUUACCUGCACACCUGGACGUCUUUGGAGUGUGGGAGGAAACCGAAGAUCUCGGAGAUAACCCACGCGAGCACAGGGAAAACGUACAAACCUCCAUACAGACAGCAAACAUAGUCGAGAUCAAUCUAGCAUCUUUGGUCGGGAUCGAACCUGUGUCUACGGCGCUGCAAGCGCAGUAAGACAGCAACUCUACUGCUGCGCCACCCACCUCUGAACCAUCUCUGGGUGUCUACACUCAAGGCAGAAGUAGAAAUUGUGGAUGAAUGGAUACCUGUGAGGUUAUAUCAACACCAACUUUAAUUUAGAAACAAGGAACGGCAGAUGUUGCUCAGCAGAUGACUGCACAAAAGGACACGCAGUGUUGAAGCAGCUCAGUGGGUCAGGCAGCAUCUCUGAAGAACUUCAAAUUAGUUAUCCAUGGAGUUUCUGGCUCAAAACCAAAAGAUAUCUGCACUGGUUUUAAAGAUUUAUAAAAUAUUACACAA